rnacentral:rRNA from 1 species
AUGGAUGCAGCCCACUGGCCCCAGGGGCUAGGGCUGGUGAAGCCCAUGGAGGAGAUGCUGAUGGGAGCACCAAGCGCGAACCAGCAGGUGCAAGGGUCAAAUCCGAAUCCACCGGCGCAGGCCCCGUCGUCGGCGCCUGGGACUGGGGGGCCCAUGAGGGGCGGGACGCCGGCCAUGGCAGUGGCAGGCUCCGGAGCUGGGGCUGGUAGCACGGAGCGGCGGCCGCGGCCGCAGAAGGAGAAGGCGAUCAACUGCCCGCGGUGCAACUCCACCAACACCAAGUUCUGCUACUACAACAACUACAGCCUCCAGCAGCCGCGCUACUUCUGCAAGACGUGCCGCCGGUACUGGACGGAAGGCGGGUCGCUGCGCAACGUCCCCGUCGGCGGCGGAUCCCGCAAGAACAAGCGCUCUUCGUCGUCGUCCGCAUCCGCCUCCGCUUCAGCGGCCGCCUCGGCGACUGCGUCCGUCGCGAACUCGUCCAUGGUCGGGGCGGCGCCGAAUAAGAACCCGAAGCUGGCGCACGAGGGCGCAGCGCACGACCUGAACCUCGCCUUCCCGCACCACCAAGGCGGGAUGCAGGCGGAUUACAUGGCGUUCCCGAGCCUGGAGAGCAGCAGCAUGUGCAACCCCGGCGGCGGGGCAAUGGCGGGCAAUGGCGCCCGGGCCGGUGGCGCGCUCUCCGCGAUGGAGCUGCUCCGGAGCACUGGCUGCUAUAUGCCGCUGCAGAUGCCGAUGCAGAUGCCCGGGGAGUACGGCGCCGCGGGGUUCUCGCUCGGGGAGUUCCGCGCGCCGGCGCCACCGCAGUCGCAGAGCUUGCUAGGCUUCUCGCUGGACGCGCACGGUCCGGUGGGCGGGGCUUCCACGGCGGGGUACGGCUCCAGUGCCGCGAUGCAAGGGCUGCAGGACAGGUCGGGAAGGUUGCUGUUCGCGUUCGAGGACUUGAAGCCGACGGCAAACUCUGGCGCCGGUGGCGGUGAGAGCGGCGGUGGUUCUGGCGCGGGCGUGGAUGGCGGCGACCAUCAGUUCGAGCAAGGCAACAAGGAGCAACAAGGCAAUGGCACCCCCGUUGGGCAGCCCGACACGCCGGGGUUCUGGAACGGCAUGAUCGGCGGCGGCGGCACCUGGUAA